GGGGGUAUAGUUCGGUGGUAGAGCAUUCGACUACAGAUCGAGUGGUCCCCGGUUCAUACCUGGAUGCUCCCU